GCGGUGGUGUUCAGUGGUAGAGUUCUCGCCUUCCACGUGGGAGACCCGGAUUUGACUCCUGGCCAAUGCA
rnacentral:tRNA from 1 species